rnacentral:tRNA from 1 species
UGUCAGAAGUGGGAUUCGAACCCACGCCCACUGCCGUGGACCAGAACACCCAACUCCCGCUUCGGGAUAAGUUAUCCUUGAGUCUGGCGCCUUAGACCACUCGGCCAUCCUGAC